rnacentral:rRNA from 1 species
CCUACGGGAGGCAGCAGUGGGGGAUAUUGCACAAUGGGGGAAACCCUGAUGCAGCGACGCCGCGUGGGUGAAGAAGCGCCUCGGCGCGUACAGCCCUGUCAGCAGGGAAGAAAAUGACGGUACCUGAAGAAGAAGCCCCGGCUAACUACGUGCCAGCAGCCGCGGUAAUACGUAGGGGGCAAGCGUUAUCCGGAUUUACUGGGUGUAAAGGGGGCGCAGACGGCGAUGCAAGCCAGGAGUGAAAGCCCGGGGCCCAACCCCGGGACUGCUCUUGGAACUGCGUGGCUAGAGUGCAGGAGGGGCAGGCGGAAUGCCGGGUGUAGCGGUGAAAUGCGUAGAUAUCAGGAGGAACACCGGUGGCGAAGGCGGCCUGCUGGACUGCAACUGACGUUGAGGCCCGAAAGCGUGGGGAGCAAACAGGAUUAGAUACCCGGGUAGUC